UGCCCUGCCCCCAGUGAAGAUUAUGACAAAUUUCUGGGCCAAUCAGCUGUGUGAUAUGACUCUGUGCUCUUUCCUGGGACCUGCUAGCAGGGAGCAUUGUGAAAUAUUGUCAGGCUCAGGACCCAGGCAAUGUGAUUCUUCUUGCUGCCUGGGCCCUACUUACAGAAGGGAUUGUGAUGUAUUGCUGAAACAAGAACUCAGAUGACGUGACUCCCCUGCCUGUGCCCUGCCUGCAGUGGGCAUUGUGACAUAUCAGUGGAUCUAGCAGCCAGAUGAUGUGACUCUCCUGCCUUGUUCCUGCCCACAGGUGGUUUGGUGACUCUCGAACCAUGAUUCGGCAGACCUGUGAGGCUGUGAGUUCCCUAUCAGAACACAAUCUGCAGGUUGUAUUGUGCCAUAUAUGUGGGACCAAAUUACAAGCACAACGAUGAAUCUUUUACCUGGAAUCAAGACAUGUGCAGGAUGGUGAAACUUGUCACUGGACCUUUCCACAGUGUUAUUGUGACAUAUGCCUUUGUCCAACAUGUGAGUGAUUUGACUCUCCAGACUGGGUCCAGUUCACAAAUAAAAUUGUGACAUAAACCGGGGCAAAAA